GCCCUUCUGAUCCAUAAGCAUGACGAUUGGGUGUUCAAGUUUUCUGUGACAUGUGCCACCCUCAAACCUGUCUGACUUGAAAAAUUUAAGCCAUUCUAAUA